rnacentral:rRNA from 1 species
AUUGAACGCUGGCGGCAGGCCUAACACAUGCAAGUCGAACGGUAACAGGGAUCAGCUUGCUGAUUCGCUGACGAGUGGCGGACGGGUGAGUAAUGUCUGGGAAACUGCCUGAUGGAGGGGGAUAACUACUGGAAACGGUAGCUAAUACCGCAUAACGUCGCAAGACCAAAGAGGGGGACCUUCGGGCCUCUUGCCAUCGGAUGUGCCCAGAUGGGAUUAGCUAGUAGGUGGGGUAACGGCUCACCUAGGCGACGAUCCCUAGCUGGUCUGAGAGGAUGACAAGCCACACUGGAACUGAGACACGGUCCAGACUCCUACGGGAGGCAGCAGUGGGGAAUAUUGCACAAUGGGCGCAAGCCUGAUGCAGCCAUGCCGCGUGUAUGAAGAAGGCCUUCGGGUUGUAAAGUACUUUCAGCGGGGAGGAAGGGAGUAAAGUUAAUACCUUUGCUCAUUGACGUUACCCGCAGAAGAAGCACCGGCUAACUCCGUG